rnacentral:tRNA from 1 species
ACCGCCAUUAGCUCAUCAGGAAAGAGCGCCAGCCUUCGAAGCUGGUUGCGCGGAGUUCGGGUCCCCGAAGGCGGUCC